rnacentral:rRNA from 1 species
GUUUGUCGCGUCUGCUGUGAAAUCCCGAGGCUCAACCAUCGGGCCUGCAGUGGGUACGGGCAGACUAGAGUGCGGUAGGGGAGAUUGGAAUUCCUGGUGUAGCGGUUGAAUGCGCAGAUAUCAGGAGGAACACCGAUGGCGAAGGCAGAUCUCUGGGCCGUAACUGACGCUGAGGAGCGAAAGGGUGCGGAGCAAACAGGCUUAGAUACCAUGGUAGUCCANCCCGUAAACGUUGGGAACUAGUUGUGGGGACCAUUUCACGGUUUCCGUGACGCAGCUAACGCAUUAAGUUCCCCGCCUGGGGAGUACGGCCGCAAGGCUAAAACUCAAAGGAAUUGACGGGGACCCGCACAAGCGGCGGAGCAUGCGGAUUAAUUCGAUGCAACGCGAAGAACCUUACCAAGGCUUGACAUAUACGAGAACGGGCCAGAAAUGGUCAACUCUUUGGACACUCGUAAACAGGUGGUGCAUGGUUGUCGUCAGCUCGUGUCGUGAGAUGUUGGGUUAAGUCCCGCAACGAGCGCAACCCUCGUUCUAUGUUGCCAGCACGCAAUGGUGGGAACUCAUGGGAUACUGCCGGGGUCAACUCGGAGGAAGGUGGGGAUGACGUCAAAUCAUCAUGCCCCUUAUGUCUUGGGCUUCACGCAUGCUACAAUGGCCGGUACAAAGGGCUGCAAUACCGUAAGGUGGAGCGAAUCCCAAAAAGCCGGUCCCAGUUUGGAUUGAGGUCUGCAACUCGACCUCAUGAAGUCGGAGUCGCUAGUAAUCGCAGAUCAGCAACGCUGCGGUGAAUACGUUCCCGGGUCUUGUAC